rnacentral:rRNA from 1 species
AGCUUGCUCCUUUGACGUUAGCGGCGGACGGGUGAGUAACACGUAUGUAACCUACCUAUAAGACUGGGAUAACUUCGGGAAACCGGAGCUAAUACCGGAUAAUAUUUCGAACCGGAUGGUUCGAUAGUGAAAGAUGGCUUUGCUAUCACUUAUAGAUGGACCUGCGCCGUAGUAGCUAGUUGGUAAGGUAACGGCUUACCAAGGCAGCGAUACGUAGCCGACCUGAGAGGGUGAUCGGCCACACUGGAACUGAGACACGGUCCAGACUCCUACGGGAGGCAGCAGUAGGGAAUCUUCCGCAAUGGGCGAAAGCCUGACGGAGCAACGCCGCGUGAGUGAUGAAGGUCUUCGGAUCGUAAAACUCUGUUAUUAGGGAAGAACAAACGUGUAAGUAACUGUGCACGUCUUGACGGUACCUAAUCAGAAAGCCACGGCUAACUACCUGCCAGCAGCCGCGGUAAUACGUAGGUGGCAAGCGUUAUCCGGAAUUAUUGGGCGUAAAGCGCGCGUAGGCGGUUUUUUAAGUCUGAUGUGAAAGCCCACGGCUCAACCGUGGAGGGUCAUUGGAAACUGGAAAACUUGAGUGCGGAAGAGGAAAGUGGAAUUCCAUGUGUAGCGGUGAAAUGCGCAGAGAUAUGGAGGAACACCAGUGGCGAAAGCGACUUUCUGGUCUGUAACUGACGCUGAUGUGCGAAAGCGUGGGGAUCAAACAGGAUUAGAUACCCUGGUAGUCCACGCCAUAAACGAUGAGUGCUAAGUGUUAGGGGGUUUCCGCCCCUUAGUGCUGCAGCUAACGCAUUAAGCACUCCGCCUGGGGAGUACGACCGCAAGGUUGAAACUCAAAGGAAUUGACGGGGACCCGCCCAAGCGGUGGAGCAUGUGGUUUAAUUUGAAGCAACGGGAAGAACCUUACCAAAUCUUGACAUCCUUUGACCCUUCUAGAGAUAGAAGUUUCCCCUUCGGGGGACAAAGUGACAGGUGGUGCAUGGUUGUCGUCAGCUCGUGUCGUGAGAUGUUGGGUUAAGUCCCGCAACGAGCGCAACCCUUAAGCUUAGUUGCCAUCAUUAAGUUGGGCACUCUAAGUUGACUGCCGGUGACAAACCGGAGGAAGGUGGGGAUGACGUCAAAUCAUCAUGCCCCUUAUGAUUUGGGCUACACACGUGCUACAAUGGACAAUACAAAGGGCAGCGAAACCGCGAGGUCAAGCAAAUCCCAUAAAGUUGUUCUCAGUUCGGAUUGUAGUCUGCAACUCGACUACAUGAAGCUGGAAUCGCUAGUAAUCGUAGAUCAGCAUGCUACGGUGAAUACGUUCCCGGGUCUUGUACACACCGCCCGUCACACCACGAGAGUUUGUAACACCCGAAGCCGGUGGAGUAACCAA